rnacentral:rRNA from 1 species
AACGAACGCUGGCGGCAGGCCUAACACAUGCAAGUCGAGCGAGAUCUUCGGAUCUAGCGGCGGACGGGUGAGUAACGCGUGGGGACGUGCCCCUUGGUACGGAAUAGCCCCGGGAAACUGGGAGUAAUACCGUAUGAGCUCUACGGAGGAAAGAUUUAUCGCCAAGGGAUCGGCCCGCGUUGGAUUAGGUAGUUGGUGGGGUAAUGGCCUACCAAGCCGACGAUCCAUAGCUGGUUUGAGAGGAUGAUCAGCCACACUGGGACUGAGACACGGCCCAGACUCCUACGGGAGGCAGCAGUGGGGAAUCUUAGACAAUGGGCGCAAGCCUGAUCUAGCCAUGCCGCGUGAGCGAUGAAGGCCUUAGGGUUGUAAAGCUCUUUCAGCGAGGAAGAUAAUGACUGUACUCGCAGAAGAAGCCCCGGCUAACUCCGUGCCAGCCGCCGCAGUAACAC